rnacentral:rRNA from 1 species
GCAAGGCACGGCGAACAGCACAGAAACACGGGGACAACCNACCCANAGGACCGGGANAACCCCGGGAAACCGGGAACAACCCCCGACAGACCCCGAAGGCCGGAACGCAGCGAGGGCGAAAGCNCCGGAGCCAAAGGANGGGNCAGCGGCCNANCAGGCAGCAGCGGGGGNAGCGAACCNACCAGCCAACGACGGGAACGGGACGAGAGAGCAAGAGCCCGGAGAAGGACACCGAGACACGAAGCCAGGCCCCACGGGGAGCAGCAGGCGCGAAAACACCACAACGCAGGCAACAGCGAAAAGGGAACCNCGAGCGCCAGGAAACAAAACCGGCAGACGAGACGCCAAAAAAGCANACCACAGCAAGGGCCGGGCAAGACCGGCGCCAGCCGCCGCGGAAACACCGGCGGCUCGAGUGGUAACCGUUAUUAUUGGGUCUAAAGGGUCUGUAGCCGGCCGGAUAAGUCUCUUGGGAAAUCUGGCAGCUCAACUGUCACGCUAUCAGGAGAUACUGUCUGGCUCGAGGCCGGGAGAGGUGAGAGGUACUUCAGGGGUAGGGGUGAAAUCUU